rnacentral:tRNA from 1 species
CGCCCGUAGCUCAGUUGGAUAGAGCGUCUGCCUUCUAAGCAGAGGGUCGGGAGUUGACUGCCCACCGGGACAAGCA